rnacentral:rRNA from 1 species
AGAGUUUGAUCCUGGCUCAGGACGAACGCUGGCGGCGUGCUUAACACAUGCAAGUCGAACGCUGAAGCUCAGCUUUUGUUGGGUGGAUGAGUGGCGAACGGGUGAGUAACACGUGAGUAACCUGCCCCCUUCUUUGGGAUAACGCCCGGAAACGGGUGCUAAUACUGGAUAUUCACUGAUCUUCGCAUGGGGGUUGGUGGAAAGGUUUGUUCUGGUGGGGGAUGGGCUCGCGGCCUAUCAGCUUGUUGGUGGGGUGAUGGCCUACCAAGGCUUUGACGGGUAGCCGGCCUGAGAGGGUGACCGGUCACAUUGGGACUGAGAUACGGCCCAGACUCCUACGGGAGGCAGCAGUGGGGAAUAUUGCACAAUGGGCGCAAGCCUGAUGCAGCGACGCCGCGUGAGGGAUGACGGCCUUCGGGUUGUAAACCUCUUUCGCUCAUGGUCAAGCCGCAGCUUUGGGUUGUGGUGAGGGUAGUGGGUAAAGAAGCGCCGGCUAACUACGUGCCAGCAGCCGCGGUAAUACGUAGGGCGCGAGCGUUGUCCGGAAUUAUUGGGCGUAAAGGGCUUGUAGGCGGUUGGUCGCGUCUGCCGUGAAAUCCUCUGGCUUAACUGGGGGCGUGCGGUGGGUACGGGCUGACUUGAGUGCGGUAGGGGAGACUGGAACUCCUGGUGUAGCGGUGGAAUGCGCAGAUAUCAGGAAGAACACCGAUGGCGAAGGCAGGUUACUGGGCCGUUACUGACGCUGAGGAGCGAAAGCGUGGGGAGCGAACAGGAUUAGAUACCCUGGUAGUCCACGCUGUAAACGUUGGGCACUAGGUGUGGGGGCCACCCGUGGUUUCUGCGCCGUAGCUAACGCUUUAAGUGCCCCGCCUGGGGAGUACGGCCGCAAGGCUAAAACUCAAAGGAAUUGACGGGGGCCCGCACAAGCGGCGGAGCAUGCGGAUUAAUUCGAUGCAACGCGAAGAACCUUACCAAGGCUUGACAUAUACUGGACCGCAUCAGAGAUGGUGUUUCCCUUCGGGGCUGGUAUACAGGUGGUGCAUGGUUGUCGUCAGCUCGUGUCGUGAGAUGUUGGGUUAAGUCCCGCAACGAGCGCAACCC